rnacentral:misc_RNA from 1 species
AAGUCGUAACAAGGUUUCCGUAGGUGAACCUGCGGAAGGAUCAUUACCGAUUUGAGCGAGCCUGGUCUUCUUGAUCAUGGGUCUCGCAAAACAUUGUAUUUAAAACCCCACUCUUGUAAUUAUAAACAAUAUUAUAUUAUGAUAAAUAAAGAUCACUUUCAACAACGGAUCUCUUGGCUCUC